GAUGAACGCUGGCGGCGUGCCUAAUACAUGCAAGUCGAGCGAACAGACGAGGAGCUUGCUCCUCUGACGUUAGCGGCGGACGGGUGAGUAACACGUGGAUAACCUACCUAUAAGACUGGGAUAACUUCGGGAAACCGGAGCUAAUACCGGAUAAUAUAUUGAACCGCAUGGUUCAAUAGUGAAAGACGGUUUUGCUGUCACUUAUAGAUGGAUCCGCGCCGCAUUAGCUAGUUGGUAAGGUAACGGCUUACCAAGGCAACGAUGCGUAGCCGACCUGAGAGGGUGAUCGGCCACACUGGAACGGAGACACGGUCCAGACUCCUACGGGAGGCAGCAGUAGGGAAUCUUCCGCAAUGGGCGAAAGCCUGACGGAGCAACGCCGCGUGAGUGAUGAAGGUCUUCGGAUCGUAAAACUCUGUUAUUAGGGAAGAACAAAUGUGUAAGUAACUAUGCACGUCUUGACGGUACCUAAUCAGAAGGCCACGGCUAACUACGU
rnacentral:rRNA from 1 species